rnacentral:rRNA from 1 species
AGCAGCCGCGGUAAUUCCAGCUCCAAUAGCGUAUAUUAAAGUUGUUGCAGUUAAAAAGCUCGUAGUUGAAUUUCGGGGUUCUACCGUUGGUCGGGCUAACCAGUCUGUACUAGCGUGUAGAAUUCCUACCUUCUGGGGAACCAUCAUGUUAUUAAUUUAGCGUGGUGGGAAACCAGGACCUUUACCUUGAAAAAAUUAGAGUGUUCAAAGCAGGCUUACGUCUGAAUACAUUAGCAUGGAAUAAUAAAAUAGGACGGUGGUCCUGUUUUGUUGGUUUCUGAAUCACCGUAAUGAUUAAUAGGGAUAGUUGGGGGCAUUAGUAUUCAAUUGUCAGAGGUGAAAUUCUUGGAUUUAUUGAAGACUAACUUCUGCGAAAGCAUUUGCCAAGGAUGUUUUCAUUAAUCAAGAACGAAAGUUAGGGGAUCGAAGACGAUCAGAUACCGUCGUAGUCUUAACCAUAAACUAUGCCGACUAGGGAUCGGACGAUGUUAAAUUUUAUUGACUCGUUCGGCGCCUUACG